rnacentral:pre_miRNA from 1 species
AGUGGGAUAGUUGGGUCAAAUGGUGGUUCCAUUCCAAGUCUUCUGAGAAAUCUCCAUACUGCUUUCCAGAGUGGUUGCACCAAUUUGCACACCCGCCAGCAAU